ensembl:lncRNA
AGGUAGAGCGGGGGCUAUAAACACAUGUCGACUUAUUUCUGUUUCUUUUGCUUUCCCUUUCUGUUUCUCUCGCUUUUCCUUUUCAUGCUCUUAAACUCAGGCCUUUAUGCUAUGAGUCACUAGUCUAAGAAGCACACAUUUUAUAGUAGUUCUGCACCAGCCCUGCUGUUGAACAUAAAGGAAAGUUGCUGGCCGCACACAAAUCUGCUAGAACUUAGGUUGAGUCAUAAGCAUCGGGCAUUGGAAGAGGUUUUCAAUUUGCUUUUUUGAGGAAAAGUCGGGGGACGGGGUGGGGUUGUGGAUUUUGGCAUCAUAGCAUAUAUUUUAAGGAAUAAUCAGGACAUCAGAUACAUUUUAAUACAUAGCUGGGGCCUUAUGUUGUAGAUGAAGCUUGCUGUUUUUAGCAAGUUCCUGGGUUUCACAUUCAUUUCUGAUGCAUCAAGUAGCUCCAUACAUUUCAUAACAUGAUCUCUUUAUUUGUAUGCAAAAAAAAAUACUGUAUUAAUAAAGAGCAGCAUUUUUGUAACAAAAAGACUUGUUGGAGCUAUUUGGUGCUUGAAUGUGACUGUCCUUUUUACUUUUGCUAAGCCUUAUUUAAAUUUUGUAUACCGUGGAAUAUGUAGAAUUUGUCCAAUCAUUUUAGUGCUGAGGGGGAUCUUUUUGUUUGUUUUUUGUUGCAGUUUUCCUUCCUGGUGGAUUGUUUUAUAUUGUAAGACAGCACUUGCUGACAUAAGUACUAAGGCACUAAGAGAAAAUACACACAGAUAAGUAUUUAUAAGAUGCUUGGGAUCCGUAGCAGGAUUUUUUGUUUUGUAAGAGAAAAAAAAAAAUUACCAAGAAGAAAUACUAAUCCAGCACCCAUCCCCCCUGGGGAGUGUCUUAGUAUCUUCAGGCUAUAACAUUGUUCACCUAAGCACAGCUUCAUCUUACAGCCCUGUGGAUUAUAAAUCAUUCAGUGAGGCUGUAAACUCCGCUCCAAAAACAAAGGCGUAACUUAAACUGCUUGGUUGUCCUUCAUUGUAAAAUGAGUUGGCAAUGGCAAAAGAAAAAAAGAAAAAAAGUCUCCUCCUCGCUCCGAAUUUUUUUCCCGUGAGGUUUUAGCCAUUCCCCAAUCACUCUGUUGUGAAUUGUAGAAGAAACAAAUAUGUCGAAAGAUCUUGAAUGGGUUUCAAAAAUGGUCUCAACAUUUAUAAUUCAUACGUGCAUUUGGCGGUUGUCAUAACCCGAUCCUUCUGCACCCAGACAUCUAGACAGGCCUAUCGGGGAGGUAGUUUAUGGUUUACAGCCUUUGCUUUUUAACUGUCCACUUUCCUUUAAAGCACAACUAGCUGCUUGUUUACAAAUGAUCUUUUUUAAUGUAUAUUUUGUAUAGUGUAUUAUCAUUUUUGCCAAAUAUGUUUUUGCAUUUUGGAUGGCUACGGAGUACCUAAGGUUGCAUUCAUGUAAUACCUGUUUGUUGUUGUAAACCUCUCCAGUCAGCUGGUAGAAAUUCUCCUGUGUUCUAUUUUGGUCGGUCUCCUGUGAUUGUAAGAUGUGCUCCUCGGUAGUAUUCCCAGCUGUAGACUUACCAGCUUCAAAGUUUGUUAGGAUCUGUGCAAUAGUGUUUGCAGUCUUAUUUUCUCUAAGAAAUUCCCUAUGGAUGUCAUAAUUGUUGUAUAUUGAACAAAUAUUUAUACUUAUGCAGUUGCAUAACAUUGAAAUAAAAAUUUAGCAUG